rnacentral:rRNA from 1 species
AAGUCGAGCGGUAGCACAAGAGAGCUUGCUCUCUGGGUGACGAGCGGCGGACGGGUGAGUAAUGUCUGGGAAACUGCCUGAUGGAGGGGGAUAACUACUGGAAACGGUAGCUAAUACCGCAUGACGUCUUCGGACCAAAGUGGGGGACCUUCGGGCCUCACGCCAUCAGAUGUGCCCAGAUGGGAUUAGCUAGUAGGUGGGGUAAUGGCUCAC